AUGGCCCAGCACAUCCCAGCAUGGCCCAGCACAGCCCAGCAUAACCCAGUACAUCCCAGCAUGGCCCAGUACAUCCCAGCAUGGCCCAGUACAGCCCAGUAUAACCCAGCACAUCCCAGCAUGGCCCAGGACGUCCCAGCAUGGCCCAGCACAGCCCAGCAUAACCCAGUACAUCCCAGCAUGGCCCAGUACAUCCCAGCACAGCCCAAGAGCCCAGUGUGGCCCAGCACAGCCCAGUAUGGCCCAGUACAGGCCAAUGCAGACCCAGUACAUCCCAGUACAGCCCAGUACAGCCCAGCCCAUCCCAGCUCCCCCACCCUACCCGGCCAUACCUGGGGGGGCUCAGCCCACGGACGCUCCCAUCGCUGCUCCGGGGGGGGGGGCGGGGGGGCCGGGCCUCGCCCUACCGGGUGGGCAUCGGGAGGGACACCGGGAAUGGGGGGAGGAACCUGGAAUGGGGGGGGAAACCGGGAAUUGGGGCGGGGGGGGGCAGCGGGCCCGGCGGCACCGGGGAUGGGGAGGAGCGAUGGGGAGGGAUGUCGGGAAUCACCGGGAUACCGGGAUGGGAUUGGGGGGGGGGGGGAAGAGGGGACCGGGAUGGGGCGGGGGACACCUGGAUGCGAACCGGGAUGGGAACCGGGAUGGAGGGAGCGGGAGGCGGGGAUGGAUCCGGGAUGCGGGGAUGGGAACGGGGAUGGGAACCGGGAUGCGCGGGGAUGGAUCCGGGGAUGGAUCCCGGGAUGGAUCCCGGGAGCCGCUGCCGGGCUGGCGGUGCCGGGGGUGCUGGGGGUGCCGGGGGUGCAGAGGGUCCCGGAGCAGCCCCGGAGCCGCCGCCCCGGAGAGGCCCCGGAGAGGCCGCGGCCGCCGCUCGGAGCCGCAGAACCGGCGGGGCGGGGCCGGGCGGGGCCGGGGCGGGGCCGGCGGGGCGGGGCCGCGGGACGGAGAGAUGGACACGGGGACACGGACGGAGGAAUGGACACAGGGAUGGACACACGGACACAGGGAUGUACCCAGGGACACACGGACAGACCCAUGGGAGGACCCACGGACACAGAGAUGGACACAUGGACGGACCCACGGACGGACACACGGAGACACGGACGGACACAUGGAUGGACCCACAGACACACGGACAGAGACAGGGACACGCGGGCACAGGGACGGACACAUGGACAGAGCCAGGGACACACGGAUGGACACAGGGACAGACCCAUGAACGCACCCACGGACGGACCCACGGACACGCGGCCCCUUCAGACCCCACCAGUCCGUGGGACCCCUCCCCGUGCCCCCCAGUUCUCCCCCAGCCCCUUUGUCCUGUCCCCCCAGACCCUCCCUGCCACCCCCCGGGCCCUUCCCAUGGACAGACGGACACUCAGACAGGUGGACACAUGGACACACGGACAGAUGGACACACGGACACACAUACACGGACACACGGGACACACGGACACAUGGACACACGGACACACAGAUACAGGGACACACGGGACACAUGGACAGACGGACACACGGACACACAGACACACGGACAGAUGGACACACGGACACACAGAUACAGGGACACACGGGACACAUGGACAGAUGGACACACGGACACACAGACACAGGGACAGAUGGACACACGGACACACAGAUACAGGGACACACGGGACACAUGGACAGAUGGACACACGGACACACAGACACACGGACAGAUGGACACACGGACACACAGAUACAGGGACACACGGGACACAUGGACAGAUGGACACACGGACACAGACACACGGACAGAUGGACACACGGACACACAGAUACAGGGACACACGGGACACAUGGACAGACGGACACACGGACACACAGACACACGGACAGAUGGACACACGGACACACAGAUACAGGGACACACGGGACACAUGGACAGAUGGACACACGGACACACAGACACACGGACAGAUGGACACACGGACACACAGAUACAGGGACACACGGGACACAUGGACAGACGGACACACGGACACACAGACACACGGACAGAUGGACACACGGACACACAGAUACAGGGACACACGGGACACAUGGACAGAUGGACACACGGACACAGACACACGGACAGAUGGACACACGGACAGAUGGACACACGGACACACAGAUACACAGACACACGGGACACAUGGACAGAUGGACACAUGGACAGAUGGACACACGGACACACAGAUACACAGACACACGGACAGAUGCACGCACACAAGGAUGGACACAUGGACAGAAGGGACACUGGAGACGCUGGGACGCGCCGGAGGAACGCUGGGGACACUGGGAGACAAUGGAGGGACGCUGAAGACAUUGGGGGGUACCGGCGCGCACUGGGGGUAUUGUGACGCACUGGGACGGCACUGGGGGAACACUGGGGGACACUGGGGGGCACUGGGGGAACACUGGGUGGACACUGAGGCGCACUGA
rnacentral:lncRNA from 1 species